GAUCAUUCGCAAAUUAUAGAGGGCCACAGGGAUUUUUAGCUAAAAUAUAGAGGGCCGAAUUAUGCAUUAGUACAUUGUUUUUCUCUCUCCUACCUUCCCUCUUUGUCCUUCCCACACAAAGGAACGUCAUAUCUCUCCUGCACGUGUGUUGAAGAUUAUGUUAUAUCUAAUUAACGAUGUAUCUCGCAGUCGUCACUCUCCAAGACUCUCCAUCUCCUCUCCUCUUAUUGUCAACAUAGCUAUAGAUUGCGCAGAAAAUAAUCAAACCCGUGCUGCAGAAUCUCUGCUUCAAACGAGGGGAGAUGUUAGGAUUUUUUGCCAAGUGAGAAAAAUGGAAGAAGACAAAAAUCAUCUUGUUUGAUGGAGAGCUAUUUGAAUGAAAACUUUGGCGAAGUUAAGCCUAAAAACUCAUCGAAGGAACCGUUGCAGAGAUGGAGAAAGCUUUACUGGUCAGUGAAGAAUCGAAAACAGAGGUUUCGUUUCGCUGCUAAUCUCUCCAAAUACUUUGAGGCUGAAGCCAUCCAUCGCUCCAAUCAUGUUUCAGUUAGAUGAUUCCAACUUAAAGUCCAACGUCUUCUUUCUUCGUUGUGGGUUUCGUAUUUAGUGAAUUCAGAUUCUCUUAUUAUCUGUUAAAUAAUUUAGAAAUUUCAUAAUCACCAACAACUUAACUAAUAUGUGAUGUGUAUGAUGUUAUAGUAGAGAAUAGUUGAGCCUUAUCCAGUAUGAUAUUGUUACUGUUAA